GGAUGUGAGGACGAUCUGGCUGUGACAUCUGUCACCCCACUGAUCGCCAGGGUUUAUUUGGCUGAUCUGGCUGGCUGAGCGGGUGUCCCCUUCUUCCCUUAAUGAUCCAUGUAUGCCCCUCCCGAAGCUGUGUACUCAGUCGAAGAGGACGACUGCCCCGGAUAGAGGAGCUAAAUUUCUGUGUAAAAAUAUGUAAUUGUUUAUUCAUAUUCUUUAAAUAUUUUUCAUUUUUAUCUCCAUAUUCUGUAGGGACUUAAAGUUUAACAAAUCCAUACUUGAUGGAAAAUAUCUGU
rnacentral:snRNA from 1 species